GUCUUAGCUUAAGCAGACAGAUCAAAUUCACCCUUCCACCACAUUUUGUUCUCUUCAGGCCCUCAACAGGUUGGAUAAAGCCCAUCGACAUCAGUGAAUGCUAUCCUUACUCAGUCUACUGAUUUAAACACUAAUCUCCUCUAGAGAUACCCUCACAGACACACCUAGAAUUAAUCUUUUACCACCAUUUGUAAAUAACGCUUAUUUACAAAAUAAUGUUUUAUGGGAUCCCUAAGACCAGUAGGUUUGACACAUAAAAUUAAUGAACAUAACAAGAUGGUAUGAUAGAGGUAAACAAGGGCCAGAGCUAAAGGAUGUGGUAGGCCAUCCUGCAGGGGUUGACUUUUAUCGUAUGUGUUAUAAAAGCCCAUUUAACAAUUUUAUGUAGGGGAGUAAUACAAUCAGAUUUAUGUUUUAUGGAGAUCAUUCUAACAACAGUGUGAAAGAUGAGUUCAGUGGUAGAGGAAGUUUACCAAAGUCAGCAAGGCAGGUUGGAUGUAUUAUAUUAGACCAGAUAACAAAUUCUGACCAAAGCCAUGUAUGUUGCAUUCUCAAAAAAUAUUUGUUAAAUAAACAAAUUAAUUUAAUCAAUCUCUCUUAUAGGUACACUGAUCCAGUCAAUGGAGGAUGUCAAGUUUGGUCUUAAUCCAGAUUUUAAUAUAAAAAUCCGCCACAAGGGAGAGAGCAAGUGAGUGUUGCAACACUCAAUGGUUUUGUAAAGGGCAACACGAAUCAGUACUCCACCAGAGUCCCCUCAAAUGGAUAGUACAGAGGAAGCUUGCUGGCAUCCUGACUGCCUCAGAGAGGCACCUUCAUCACCUCUGAGAUGGCAUCUGACAUUUCCUCCAGCCAGUUACAUGCAGGUAAAGUUUCUAUUAUCACAUCCAAUACUUGUCUCUCUUCCCCAGGUCCUGAGCCUUUUGCUCCUUACCCUCUUCUCUGGACAGAAGCUUAUCAUUUUGGACUUACAAGUUCACCGUCCUAUGCUAGUCCUCUUUCUCUCUUGAGUUAAAAACUGGCCAAUCUAAAACAAAACAAAACAAAACAAAACGAAACAAAACAAAAAACUGGCCAAUCUGCCCAUUUUUGGUUUACCUAUUAAUGGAUGACUGUACACCUGGGCGCCUUUGUCAGUAACAUGUUUGCUUUUCCUUCGAGCCUUCUGCUAUCAGAACGUUUAAACCAAAUGAGUGCCUAAAAGGUAGAAUUUAUGUCAUGGGAAAGGCCAGAAGGAGAGUUGACUUUGGGAAGGAGUGAUAUGUUGUGACCUUAAAAAUAACAAAGUUGCUUACUUUCUAAAGUAAAGGUAAUCCUAUUUCUUAGGUAUUAUAUCUCAUUCCUUUGAGGAUAAGUAUGUUGGCUGACCAAGGAUAAUUUGGAGAAGUUAAAAUUUAGGGAUCUGAAGACAGGCCAUGAUUAUGGCCUUUACAGUCCUUUCACAAGGAAAGUAGAUUGAACUUAAACUUCCCAAUAAGACAGCCCCCAGGGCUAAUGCUUUUGGGAUAAACUUGAAAUGAAACUGCUUCAUACUGAAAUCCAUUAGUCAUUUCUUUAGCAAACUCUCCUGGGUAGGACCCCUUUAGCCUACAUUUCUUGAUUUCUGCUGUAGUUUAUGGUGUUAUGACAAGGUCCAAAAGAAGACUGUGGAAUGCAAUCUGUAAAAGCACCUUUUACCUAGAAUUUUUGAAUCAAAAAUGACUCUGGAGAAAAAACAUGAUAAUUAUAGCUUAACAUAAUAAUGCAGAGGAUACAGCUUGCAAUGAGGUAGUUUCAAUCAUUGUCAUUAUUAUCACAGUUUUUGGAAGUCAUUAGUUGCUGAAUUUUUAAGCAUUUUCCUUAACAAAAUGAAAACUGUAUUUUUACUCAUGCAAAUGAUGUCAUCAAAUAAGUGUUCUGAAGAUGGUGAGGAAUUGUGUUUCUUAUUAUCACUAGAUCUUCCCCGAGGCAUGUUGCAAGAAAUAGUUUAUUUAUAGCCCCAAAUCCCCAAUUGCAUAAGGAAACAAAGGACGUUUUUACUCAGGAAUUUGUUUUAUAUUUUUAAUUUGAAAUAAUUUAUACUUAGAGAAAAUUUGCAAAAGUAAUAUGAAGAAUUCCUGUUUACCCUUCACCCAGGUUCCCCUAACGUUAAUAUAUUACAUAGACAUACUCCAGUGAUCAAAACCAGGAAAUCAAUGUUAUCGGCGUAAUGCUUUAAUAAUAAAAAUUUUGGGGGCAGCCUGAGUGGCUCA
rnacentral:lncRNA from 12 species